rnacentral:rRNA from 1 species
GACGAACGCUGGCGGCGUGCCUAAUACAUGCAAGUCGAACGCUUCUUUCCUCCCGAGUGCUUGCACUCAAUUGGAAAGAGGAGUGGCGGACGGGUGAGUAACACGUGGGUAACCUACCCAUCAGAGGGGGAUAACACUUGGAAACAGGUGCUAAUACCGCAUAACAGUUUAUGCCGCAUGGCAUAAGAGUGAAAGGCGCUUUCGGUUGUCGCUGAUGGAUGGACCCGCGGUGCAUUAGCUAGUUGGUGAGGUAACGGCUCACCAAGGCCACGAUGCAUAGCCGACCUGAGAGGAUGAUCGGCCACACUGGGACUGAGACACGGCCCAGACUCCUAAGGGAGGCAGCAGUAGGGAAUCUUCGGCAAUGGACGAAAGUCUGACCGAGCAACGCCGCGUGAGUGAAGAAGGUUUUCGGAUCGUAAAACUCUGUUGUUAGAGAAGAACAAGGACGUUAGUAACUGAACGUCCCAUGACGGUAUCUAACCAGAAAGCCACGGCUAACUACGUG